UGAAAUUAAAUUGACAUAUGUAAGUUUGACAUACUUCUCUCUCCCCAGUUAAUGGAAGCCCUGAAGGAGCAGGAAGAAAUUAACUUGCGUCUGCGUCAGUACAUGGACAAAAUCAUCCUGUCCAUCUUGGACCACAACCCUUCCAUCCUGGAGAUCAAGAACUAGCAGUGACUCAGCUGGAAUGAGAAUUGUUCCCGGUCUCAGGAGAAUGAGGAUCAUUCCAGUUGUUUGAUCUGAACCUGCAACCUGAGUCAGGACUCUGUACAGGAAAGCAGAGAGAACCAGAGGCAGUCCUAGAAACUGGAACAUAUAAAUAGACAUGCAUCGCCCCCUGCUGUUUGUGGUGGGAAAUGAACUUCUCUUUCAGAGAAGAAAAGGAUUCUGUGCUGAACUAAAGGGAGUUUUCUCAACCAGUGAUUUCUCUCUGAGUCUGACUGAAUAUCCUGCACUCUACAUGCUUCAAGGAUCGACAGAGUCGCUCACUGUUGUUCACUGGGCAUAAUGUACCUUGGUAUAAAAACUGGGACAAUGUAAUAAACCUAACAUUUGUUGUACUGUAUCCUGGUAUAACACUCGCUGUAAUAUCCACAGACAGACAGUUUGGUAUGAUGUAGAGAGAAACAGUUGUGAGACAGACAAACAAGUUGGCAGACAGACUGUAAACCUGACUCUCAGAGGCAUGAAGGCGGACCAAUCGAGUGCUGCCGGCCCAUGUUUUGUUCUCUGAGGCAUGCAUGUUGAUGUAUUUGGACUGGCACACUUUAAGAGAAGAUAGAGAAAAGUGGCAAAAGUGGUCAGAGAAAGAAAACAGUGAGAGUCCCUGUAUCUAUAAGGGGGGAUGAAGAUUUUAAGAAAGAAAAAGAAAAGCAUCAAGAGGUAGGGAGUCAGAUGAUGGACCAUGUUUGCUAGCAAAGCAGGGUUUUAGUGAAGUCGGUGAUGGCUAAUUGAAGGUGAAGAUUUUUGCGUUUUAUGUUUAUUCUUGAGAACAUGUCUUCCAGUAACCUUGCAACUGUGUCAAUCAGUCCAAAAGUGAAGCUUUUUCACUGAGAAGUGGCCCUUAGUUGGUUCAGAUGAGUAGUAGAGCAUCACUUUAUUGAGCAGAAGCUGCAACCAAGGAGUGUCUUUAAACUGUAACUUUCAUGGCUGCUAUUUGCUAGCCAUGUUCGAAAAGUUACACCAUUGCUCGCAAUAGACUCAAUGAUGUUGCACAGAAAUGUACGGAUAUGAAUGUACAGGGUGUGUGGUGGAUUUAUGUGGGUGUGACUGGUAGCCAUUGUAACAUGGUUUACUGAAUCGUCUCUCUAUGCUCAGUGAAAUCAACUCAAAUAUUGUAGGUGAGCAUGCACAGGAGACUCACUUUUUGGGACAAAAGACUGGAUUAGCAAUCUCAUUGAAACCUACAGUUUGUAGAUUGUUUUUAAAGCCCUCUGAAACUCUCUAAUACUGUAAAUAACAUGAAUGUACAACUGGAUAUUUCCCUUUCUGUGUGGCCAAAAAAGGCCUUUUGACUUAAAAUCCCUGUAAUUGGUAAAAGAUACAUUGUAAUCCACAUGCACACAGUAUUGAGUACUGUAAUGAAGAGGGGAUUGUUUGGAGAUAGGAAACAAUCUGCUGUAUUAUGUAAUUAUUCUAAACUUGAGUUUUGCUUCCUUGCACAAAAACAAAACAAAACAAAAACACUUUUUUUCCUUUUGCAUGGUUCACCUUUUCUUCUGUCUGUGCCUUUUGAGGACAUUUUUCAAGAUGACGUUGCUAUAGAUUUACGUAGUUUUUUGAAGCUACAUUCUAUGUCUGACAUUUUCUUGACUUGUAAAUGUUGUAAUUAUACAGUGAUGAUUUGUAUUCAUGUGCCACUCACCACUCUUUUUCAGAUUGAUACUAUGAUAACGAUUUUAUACUGUUUUAUCAAGAAAGAACUUGUGAUUGGUUAGGUGUCCUAUUAGAAAAGCAGAAUAGCACAAUGCUUUGUAUGGUACGCAGGACAGGUCAGCAUUUUGGGAACAUUUUGUCAACGUAAUGAUUUUUUAAUGCAUUGAGGGACGUUUUAUUGCAUUUCUCAAUUGUUAGUGUCUAUUGCUUUAAACUGGCUUUUUAUAUGUUGUAAACUGUCUUCCUACCUUAAACUAAAUUGUGAGCAUUGUGAGCAAUAUUAACUUAUUUACAAAUACCUGCUGAUUUGUGUCAUGUUCUGCUUCACAAAUCUUUUCACUCUAGAUCUGCUCGUGCCAUUCUAGAUUUUUUUUAAAUCAGUACAUUAAGCUGUAAAAUUUUGUCUCAAACUCAUUUCUUGUAGCUUUUAAAUUUUACAUUUAUUGAAUUAUUAGGGCUAUCCAAUAUGAUAUAGUCACUUUAAAUAGCAAUAAAAAUGGCUUUGGCAGUGCUGCUGUCUCAUGAAAUUUCUAUUAUUUCAAACUCUGUUUAUUUCUCCUCACUUCCAUUUCCAUGCUAUAAUUUCUUCUUAACAUGAAACCACUUAUUGUAUGCCUACCAUGUACACUGCUGAUGUCAUUAUGUUGUACAUACUUUGCUGUCAAUAAAAAAAAACAUUUAA